ACAAAACUUAACGUUGAGCAUAAAUUGGGCGUGGGUCCUUUAAGAUACUGGGUUUGCAACACUUGCUUUACGGCGCUCCAGCAUGUAAUACAUGUGCGUGGAUUUCAGUAUGAGCAGAGCAGCAAACGCAAGCUAGUGCUGUGGGUUUGGUGCCAUUAUUCUGAAUUUGGCGAGGACAUUUAUGGAUUGCAUGUGUGAGGUGGAUCGGGUUUGAUCACGUUUUGGGACACGUGCAAGGACUGGCCUCUACCGUAUUUAAUUUUAUUUUAUUUUAUUUU